CCUACGGGUGGCAGCAGUAAGGGAUAUUGGUCAAUGGGGGAAACCCUGAACCAGCAACGCCGCGUGAGGGAAGACGGUUUUCGGAUUGUAAACCUCUGUCCUCUGUGAAGAUGAUGACGGUAGCAGAGGAGGAAGCUCCGGCUAACUACGUGCCAGCAGCCGCGGUAAUACGUAGGGAGCGAGCGUUGUCCGGAUUUACUGGGUGUAAAGGGUGCGUAGGCGGCUUGGCAAGUCAGUAGUGAAAUCCAUGGGCUCAACCCCGUCCGGCCGUUGAAACUGGGGGCCUUGAGUGGGCGAGAAGAAGGCGGAAUGCGUGGUGUAGCGGUGAAAUGCAUAGAUAUCACGCAGAACCCCGAUUGCGAAGGCAGCCUUCCGGCGCCCUACUGACGCUGAGGCACGAAAGUGCGGGGAUCGAACAGGAUUAGAUACCCCAGUAGUC
rnacentral:rRNA from 1 species